AGCAGCCGCGGUAAUUCCAGCUCCAAUAGCGUAUAUUAAAGUUGUUGCAGUUAAAAAGCUCGUAGUUGAAUUUCGGGAUCAAUAUGUUGGUCGUGCCUUGGUACGUACUGGCAUUAUUGGUUUCUACCUUCUGAAGAACCUCGAUGUCAUUAAUUUGGUGUCUUGGGGAAUCAGGACUGUUACUUUGAAAAAUUAGAGUGUUUAAAGCAGGCUCGCGCUUGAAUACAUUAGCAUGGAAUAAUGAAAUAGGACGUUUGAUUCUAUUUUGUUGGUUUCUAGGAUCGACGUAAUGAUUAAUAGGGAUAGCUGGGGGCAUUAGUAUUCAAUUGUCAGAGGUGAAAUUCUUGGAUUUAUUGAAGACUAACUACUGCGAAAGCAUUUGCCAAGGAUGUUUUCAUUAAUCAAGAACGAAGUUAGGGGAUCGAAGACGAUCAGAUACCGUCGUAGUCU
rnacentral:rRNA from 1 species